GACGAACGCUGGCGGCGUGCUUAACACAUGCGAGUCGAACGGAAAGGCCCUGCUUUUGUGGGGUGCUCGAGUGGCGAACGGGUGAGUAACACGUGAGUAACCUGCCCUUGACUUUGGGAUAACUUCAGGAAACUGGGGCUAAUACCGGAUAGGAGCUCCUGCUGCAUGGUGGGGGUUGGAAAGUUUCGGCGGUUGGGGAUGGACUCGCGGCUUAUCAGCUUGUUGGUGGGGUAGUGGCUUACCAAGGCGUUGACGGGUAGCCGGCCUGGGAGGGUGACCGGCCACAUUGCGACCGGGAUACGGCACAGACCCCUACGGGAGGCAGCAGUGGGGAAUAUUGCACAAUGGGCGGAAGCCUGAUGCAGCAACGCCGCGUGCGGGAUGACGGCCUUCGGGUUGUAAACCGCUUUCGCCUGUGACGAAGCGUGAGUGACGGUAAUGGGUAAAGAAGCACCGGCUAACUACGUG
rnacentral:rRNA from 1 species